rnacentral:rRNA from 1 species
GCAAGUCGAACGGCAGCACGAGAGCUUGCUCUUGGUGGCGAGUGGCCAACGGGUGAGUAAUAUAUCGGAACGUAUCCAAUAAUGGGGGAUAACUAAUCGAAAGGUUAGCUAAUACCGCAUACGCCCUACGGGGGAAAGCAGGGGAUCUUCGGACCUUGCGUUAAUGGAGCGGCUGAUAUCUGAUUAGCUAGUAGGUGAGGUAAAGGCUCACCUAGGCUUCGAUCAGUAGCUGGUCUGAGAGGACGACCAGCCACACUGGAACUGAGACACGGUCCAGACUCCUACGGGAGGCAGCAGUGGGGAAUUUUGGACAAUGGGCGCAAGCCUGAUCCAGCCAUUCCGCGUGAGUGAAGAAGGCCUUCGGGUUGUAAAGCUCUUUCGCAAGGGAAGAAACGAUACCGACGAAUAAUCGGUGUUAAUGACGGUACCUUGAUAAGAAGCACCGGCUAACUACGUGCCAGCAGCCGCGGUAAUACGUAGGGUGCGAGCGUUAAUCGGAAUUACUGGGCGUAAAGCGUGCGCAGGCGGUUUUGUAAGUCAGAUGUGAAAUCCCCGGGCUCAACCUGGGAACUGCGUUUGAAACUACAAGGCUAGAGUAUGGUAGAGGGGGGUAGAAUUCCACGUGUAGCAGUGAAAUGCGUAGAGAUGUGGAGGAAUACCAAUGGCGAAGGCAGCCCCCUGGACUAAUACUGACGCUCAUGCACGAAAGCGUGGGGAGCAAACAGGAUUAGAUACCCUGGUAGUCCA